rnacentral:rRNA from 1 species
CACGUAGUUGGCCGGUGCUUCUUCUGCAGGUACCGUCACUCUUGCUUCGUCCCUGCUGAAAGAGGUUUACAACCCGAAGGCCUUCAUCCCUCACGCGGCGUCGCUGCGUCAGGCUUCCGCCCACUGCGCAAUAUUCCCCACUGCUGCCUCCCGUAGGAGUCUGGGCCGUGUCUCAGUCCCAGUGUGGCCGGUCGCCCUCUCAGGCCGGCUACCCGUCGUCGCCUUGGUAGGCCAUCACCCCACCAACAAGCUGAUAGGCCGCGGGCCCAUCCUCAGCCGAAGAACUUUCCACCAACCCCCAUGCGAGGGAAGGUCGUAUCCGGUAUUAGCCCCGGUUUCCGGAGUUAUCCCAGAGCUGAGGCAGGUUGCCCACGUGUUACUCACCCGUUCGCCGCUCGAGUACCCCGAAGGCCUUCCGCUCGACUUGCAUGUGUUAAGCACGCCGCCAGCGUUCGUCCUGAGUCCGAGGAUCGAAACUACUA